ACUUGGUCCCUGCAGCUCCAGAGGCAAUCCUGGCACUUAUAGACCGGUAAGCAUAAUUUCAGUACCAGGCACAUUGGUUGAUACUAUAGUAAAGACCAGAAUUAUCAG